AUUGAACGCUGGCGGCAGGCCUAACACAUGCAAGUCGAGCGAGCGGCGGACGGGUGAGGACUGCCUGGGUAUUGACCAGUCGAGGGGGAUAACAGUUGGAAACGACUGCUCAUCACGCAUACGAAUGGGUUGCCCAGGUGGGGUUGGCUAGUUGGUGAGGUACUGGCUCACCAAGGCGACGAUCCCUAGCUGGUCUGAGAGGAUGAUCAGCCACACUGGAACUGAGACACGGUCCAGACUCCUACGGGAGGCAGCAGUGGGGAAUAUUGCACAAUGGGGGAAACCCUGAUGCAGCCAUGCCGCGUGUGUGAAGAAGGCCUUCGGGUUGUAAAGCACUUUCAGCGGGGAGGCGUUACUCGCAGAAGAAGCACCGGCUAACUCCGUGCCAGCAGCCGCGGUAAUUC
rnacentral:rRNA from 1 species